GCAUCUACACAGUUUCACCCAGAGUGGAUACUCAAAGCAAAAUAGAACAAAACAGUAGAACUCAUUGAACACUUGACUCCUGAAUGUUCAGAUCUAUGUUUGAGUUGUUCCGCUAAUCCUAGGAGAGUGAUUAAAGGUCCACAUGUAGUAUAAAAGGACCAAUGUUUAGCAACAAUUGAAGAAUGGCAGCAGCAAUUGUAUUCUGGGAGAGGACCAGGUUAUUUGAACACCGGACAAGUUACCUAGAAGUUGCUUACAGCCUUUCAGAACAUGGUGCUAUCUGAGACCGGGUGUUAUAAGGAAGAAAGCAUGACUUUGAGAUAAAGUUUCCCUCUCUAGCUCUGCUUCUUUCCCUUCUUAUCAUCACUAAUGUUUUCCUAAAAGGCAGGCAGUUAGAGAACGGGCUACGGCAUCAUUGCAGAGGACUCAGAGCUUAUAACCAAGCCACACACAACAUCCAAUGAAGAAACUGGAUUA